GUUAAUGUAGCUUAAACUUAAAGCAAGGCACUGA
rnacentral:tRNA from 2 species